ACAAAUUUAAUAAGUAUCAUUAGUGAUUACAUUAUCGGAGUUUCAGAAAUAAUAACCAUAAAUUUUAAUGCAGCGGAAAUAACUAACGGAGAAAACCGAGUAACAUGGCGAAGCCUGGCCACACUACUCCUCCUGGUCCUCUCCUGCGGAAGCAGUAACCCACUCGACCGUCUAUCCCGGUGGUAGGGAUGGAGGCCAAGUCACACCAUCAACCAAACAUCCUAAGGAGUACCUGCAAAAAUUAUGCCACAAGCAAGGCUGAGUAUACUAAUACUCAGCUAGACUUACCCGGUGUGAGGAGUCUACUCCUCUACCUCUAGACAUGCAGCUGUUUGGCUGAGGGGUUUGGUUGCCAAAAGCACUAGCUGAGUCUAAAAUCAAGUUUUAGCUUUUCAAGUUUUAGUAUGAUCCUUUUUAAACUAGAUGAGUACCUAGCUAUUCAUACAUGGUACCAAACAUUAUAUCAAUCAACAUCUUUUUGCCAGUCACCUCAUUUCCACUUAUUACUCAAUGUAGCAGCAUGGAUCAAGCAGUCUCAUUAGCUGCGAGAAGCAGACGAUUCGAAUCGAGUUUUUAUCCUUGCAAGGUAAACCUAAACACACGACAUGUAGGGGCACUCCGUCCCCACACAUAUCAACCGUCCCCAUCGAUUCCCCGUCAGCAGAUCAGGGCUCACCGCCUUGGCGUACAAUGCCUCACUGACCCCGACUGCCGUCGUGCAGUGACCGCACUUGUACCCACCAUAACCGGAAUGGGAGACCUCGUCUCAGGUCGCGUGAGGGGAUAUGUCCACUGCCAGGUUCACUCAGGUACUAGGCUUACCGAUUUACCAUAUUUCUCGGCAUGUGCUUAGUACGUUCAAACGCUUGACUCACGGUACCACACCUUAAUCCUUAUUCCAAUUUUUAUCCCGUGGACAACCAAUCCCCAUGGAUUGUUGUCCACAAACCAGCAUCAUUAUGAUAAGAAAGUGGAUACAAUCAAUUUCCUGACCUCGCGCGAGUGCUAGAAAAAUCACUCGACUUCUACCGAGAUCCUAAUUAAUAAAGCAGCUACUCGACCUAGCAUACUAGUAUUCAUUUCAACAGGAUUCCUGAGAUCAUGCAACUAUGGUUUCAUUCAACUCCUACACUUAAGUGCACAGUACAAGCCUACAAACAUUAAGUGUAGUAAAAUAGCAUAUAUAAAACGGUUAUGCAUAAAACCGGGGCUUGCCUUUAAUUUAACACUUAGAUAGUGUUUGCUGGGGGGAGGUACUCGCUUGGCGAGCAUCCACGGGGUAAGUCCAUCAUUCUUCAGGUUGUCCACCAACGACAUCUUGUGGUUGGCACCACACCACUUGCAUGAGCGUCAUCUCUCGGUCCUAAAUGAGAUGCAAGAUGCAUAUGUAUGAAUACAAUGAAAAAUAUCACAAGCUAUAUAAAUACAUGGUAGCAAACUAACAUUUAAUUGUAAGACACCGCAACGAAUAUACGCAAGCGCUAGCUAUUCGUCUGUUAUCGGCGUUCAUCAUUAACACCAUUAACAAGACGACCACAUUUUAUUUAUUUACGCAACAUAAAUACGAUAUGACAAGUACACGCAUUUUCUACGCUCACUUUAAUCAUUCAUUUGUUCUCCUAGUGACCACACAAGAGCAACCAAGACAACGUAAGUUUAAAUCGGACCUAGGCACCAAUGUCUAUGAAACUGCUAUAUCACAAUCAACUAGGGAAGAAACAUAUAAAAUAAGACACACAUACAUUAUUAAGCUUAGUCAUGACAAGUCUACAUUACUUAAGUGUCAACCAAACAUUUUUAGCCAAAACGGAUCAACUCAACAAUCAAUUAAGCACUUGUAGAAUUUUAGGACAGCAGCACAUCAGUCACUUGCUUUAACCAUAACUUUUCAAAGAUUAAUCUAAAAAUAGCAAACUAGGACAUUCCGGAAAGCUUAAAAAGUGAACUACAACUUUGGUAUUUUUACCUCCACAGGAUUUCAGCACUUAGCAAGGUCAAACAGUGCUAACACAAGAGUUCUGACCAGAUUUGGACAGAUUCAGACUUGCAACUUCAAAAAUUCACAACUACAGAUUCAGACAUCCAAACAAGGUGAUUCUAGAAUUUCUGGAAAGAUAAUUAAAUGUUCUACAAAUUAUUUAUAAACAUCACUGGCUGGUUUAACAUAUAUCAAGGGUAAAAUACACUAUGAAAGCUGUGCUGUCCAGAACUGGACAGAUUCAGUCUUCACACUUUAAACAUCCAUAACUUAAUCUUCAGACCACCAAAACUAGUGAUCCAAGACUUUUUGGAAAGCUUGGCAAAAGCACUACAUAACUUUUAUAAUCACUAAGAAGUGAUUCCAGUUUUAAUCAAAUCAAACAUUACAGUUUUCGAAAUCUGUUCUGACAGAGGACAGAACACAACAACCAGUUUGUAAAAUUCAUAACUCUUAAACUAUCAGGCCUAUGGUUAUGAAAUUUUAACACAAGCAAGAUGUGAAAAGAAUCUACAACUUUCUUAUAAUCGACAAGGACUGAUUCUAACAUUACAUUAGGCAAACAAUGCAGUUUCUGAAAUCUGUACAGAAUUUGGACAGAUUCAGUUACUGAAUUUGUAAAAAUCAUAACUCCUAAACGAUCAAACUUAUGCCUGUCAAAUUUUAACACCCGCAAGAUAAUAAAGUUAUCUACCACUUUUCUAUAGCACAUAUCUACAGAAAACACAAUUUAGUUCAUAAAACAUACCGCACGACAAAAACAGCGCGUGCAGCCCCAAACAGCAAUUACUAAAAUUCAGCUUCUAUACAAUUCAAGAAUUUCCGCAUUUUAGAGACUUGACUUACUCUAACUUAGAUCAAGACACACUUAAACAUAGUCACAUAAUAGGUGACGUGACGGCUACGUAGUCAUGCCAUCACUUCACCACACAUCGCAACCAUAGACUAAUCCAAUCAUACUUCACAUGGCAAUUAUACAGAGUUGCAGAGGGGCAAUAUUAACACAUAGGUAAGCGGCAUUUCUUCACGACUCUCGGCUAAGUCACCAAACAGACGACAUGAUGAAUACGAAGGCAUGUCACCAUUUCAUCACACACAUUCAUCUCCUAUAUGCGCACUAAUCCAUUUCUUGCGACAUAUGUACUCAAAAUCAAUCCACACUACACAAGUACACUUAUCUCUUAUUUAUGCACAGACUUAACACCUUUCGGGAUAAAGUGUCACUAUAAACACCUUACACAUAAUUGCUUUAGGAACUUAUUAGUUUACUCGAAAACAUCUAUUCAAGUCAUAAACACAAGCAUACACUCAUUUGUGAAGCACAAUUUAAGGAACGCCUAACGUGUAAAGACUCGACUUAUAAUUAUAGAGGAAGUGAUGACUACUUACGGCAUGUCACCACCUCUCUAUAUAAGCAAAGACAAUUUCCACCUACAACGACUGAACAUCCCCAUCGAGCACACCUUAUUUUACUAUGUCUCGCAUACAACCAUAUUGUGGCGUGCACUCGAGACACUACCGAUUAACUUAACGCAAUUACCACUACAAGGCACUUCGAUAUACACGUUCGACAUCACGGUGCUUCGUCAAACCCACACUUCUAAUCUACUUAUCACCUCCAACCAACACCACGAUGAAUGCAUAAAUAUAUUUAACAUAGACUAACUCAUUAGCCGACUAUGGAAACCACUAAGCAUGUUUUACGCUUUAUUUAAUUUACCACAACUAACACACUACUUACGACGAAGUGCUUUAGCAAACAAUUAAUACAUCCGCGACCAAUCCCUACGACGCACAAAAUAACUAUCGCAGCCACAUAUAUAUCCGAUCUAACACUAAAUAACACAUCGGCUCACCAUAUCAAACCUCGGUCGUGGUUGCUGCACAUGUGGCGUGAAGACGAACGCAUCAUCGAUCACGGGAGACCGAAGCGAAGUCGAAGGAGCACGACGGGCACCGAGGGCGUGUCAAGGUGGAGCACACGCCACGGAGGGGCUGCUGCGGCUGUCGAUUGGCGCGACAAAACAGCAAGAACGAUGACAUCACGGGCACGGCGCAAAGGGGCUACGCGUCGACGAACAACGGGCAGCGACAACAAGUGUGUAGCUACGCGAGGGGGGCAUUUUUGUGGAGCGUGGCGAGUGCGGGGUGGAGGGGAGUGUCGCGGCUGCUAUGUUGGCGCUGCUGCGAGGGGGUGUACACGAAGGCGAGGUCGAUGGCGAAUGCGACACUACUGUUGUCCUACUGCGACACCAUGCGGGCGAGCGCAGCGAGUCGAGCGCGUGACGCGGAGGGGCUGCUGUUUUCCAUGGGAGAUGUGCAGUAGCGAAGCUCGACACAACGCAAGGCAAGGGACGGAGCUGCUGCAGUGCGUGGCUUGCUGCGCAUUUUGCCGAACAGCCGGCGGGCACCACGACGAGCAGCGAGGAAGGGGGCUCGCUGUUUGGGGAGGGAGAGUCGCGCAGAGGCGUUGCGCGGGGCGCCGGCCAUGGAGGAAAUGGAGCUCUUGCUGGAUUUCCAUGGGAGAGUAGGGCGCAGGGAAGAAUCGGCCAUGGCAAGAGCAGUUUGGGGGAGGAAGAUGUUGCUGCAAUUUCUGGGCGCCAAGGAGGAAGAGCAGGGGGCGCCAUGGGAGGGAGUUGCUGCGUCGCCAUGGACAGGGAGGCAGAGCCAUGAGGAAACUGGAGCUCGAGCCAUGGAGCAGGGAACAGGGCGCUCAGCCAUGGCACUCAUGGCAACAGCGGCUACCAAGGCCGGCCAUCCGAAAUGGAGGAGGCGAGCACCUAGAGUAGGGGCACGGGCGCCAUGGGGAGGAGGACAGGGAGCGUCGGUCAUGGGAGAGAAGGAAGGGGCGCUGCUCUUUCCUGCUACCGAACGCCGCGGAGAAGGGGAGAGCGCCAUGGGCGACUGCGAGCCCGGACCAGAGAAGGCCCACGCCAUGGCUGGAGCAGAGGGCAAGGGCGCUGGCCUUAGUGCUCCUUGCACCCAUGGGAAACAGCAAGGGAGAGAGAAGCUCGGCUAGGGAGGGAGCAUGGAGGGGGAGCCGGCUGAAGCAGGGUGGCGCUGGGGAAGAAAGGGAGGACGCCAUGGCUGCUGGCCGAUCCUCCCUGCUGGCUGCCGUGGAAAACAGGGAAGAAGGAGACGGCGUGAGGAGGAAGAAGGCUGUGGCGGCUGGAAUUUUUUGAGGGGUGGGAGUGCAAAAAUGCCUCCACUUGCUAGGAGAGGGCUGCUAUUUAUUUAGGGGCACUAGGGUUAGGGUUUUCUCAUGGGCCAAAUGGGCCGGGCUGGAAUGGGCUUGGCCCAAAACACAUACUCGGGUCGCGCUAAAUUAUUUUUUUCCGAAUAAAAAUGCUCCCGCGGAAUUCGUCUCUACGGAGAACAGAGCGGAAUAGAGUUUCGGCGAACGGACGAUUGAGCGAUUAAUUCGGCCGAGAGUUUGACUUGAAUUCGCUCGGAAAUAAUUCCCUACGUGUGAUUCGAAAAUAAACCGUCCUGAGAUUUGAUCGGCUUUGGAUUUUUAGUCGGAGAAGGCGAACCGUGAUAUUUUAAAGUUGCUGUCGAUACGGGGUUUUGAAUUCGGUUGAACAUGAGAUAUUUAGCCGAGUCGGAUAAAAUUGAUUAGAGGACGACAUAUUGAGUAUUUCUUUUGAGAGUACGGAUUCGGAUUAAAAUAGUCGAACAUCGAUCGAGGUUCGAGGAAUUAGAUUCGGGCUCAGAUCAGAUAAUAGUCGUCGAGAGUUUGAUUUAAAGAGCUUCAGAUGAGAUUUAAAAUUCGAGAAUGAUCUUCGAGUCUGCAUUAGUUUCGAGAAUUAAAAGUUUUAACACGCUCCAAAAUUGGUUGUUUUCUCGCGAUCGAUUAACUCUGAAUUCGGUGAACUUCCAAGAGAAAGCCUGAUAGACAGAGAUAGACACGAUCGAGAAAUAGAAAUUUUCACUGAGCAUCCGAGAUUAGGAUAAUUCUUCCGACAUAACCCGAAACUGACACCUGUGGUGUCACAGCCUUCCCCCCUUAAAAAGAAUCUCGUCCCGAGAUUCGAAUGAGGAUCUUCAAGGGUGGAGAAGCAUGUAACUCCCAGACUAGAGAUAGAUGCAAAUUUAUGAGAGGGUAUCUUACGAGAUACGGAAGAUUGAUUUGGAUAGAAUAUCGCGACAUAUUGAGACAAAAUGCAGCGAUCCUUCUGAGAGAGUGUCCACAAAAGAUAGCACAUCGGUAUAGCCUCAUAAUGGAUCACAACUAUUAACCAUGAUACCAGCGCGUGCCGAGCAGCUCAACCAUGUGUGCACCAUAGUAGGCUCUCGGUUUCGUCGCGACACCAUCAGUCGUUAGUCAUGACACCAUUACCAAACGUAACCAAUGAAAAAUUCACUUGGCAUAAUUAGAUGGAGCCCAUGAGAGUAUGGCUCAGAAAAUGUGAUUGAAGUUGAAGCAAAGAUUAUGGGCAAAAGAGCAUCACAUGGGAAUUUUUACUUAACUCAGAGAACUAUUUUAUGAUCAACAUGGAGAUUAUCAAAUCAGAUCUUAGCACGAGAUUUGAUAUGAGGAGGAACGAACCAUGAGAUCGAGAUUGAUAAGCCUUUAGAGACCUGAGAGAACUAAAGUCAACGACAUAAUCCAUAGAACCAAAUGUAUCCACUGCUUAGAGAUAAAAUCGAUAAAACAGCGUCAUGAUCCUCAAAGAAGGGGUAUGAGAAUGACCAGAAGUGAGAGAUUUAGGCAGAUCAACAUCUGAUACUUGAGAACGGGUUAUAGCAGAUAACCAGAUAACGGGGCAGAAUCAUUAAGGGAUCCAGAGAUUUGGAUGAUAAAGCCACAACAUGAUUCACAAGCAAGAGAUCACCAGAUCCAUGCGAAAGGAGUGGUAGGCAACAAGAUCAGCUGGAUGAUCAACAGGAAUGCUAUGAAGUUUUAGGGGCAAGGAUUUAUGGAAAGAAACAUGGCCUUGAUAGGGUUUGCGCAACUAGACACCAACAACAAUUUUUUUUGACACAACAAGUGCACAAGGGGACUUGGGUUGGUCUAGCGGUCAAGCUAUGGGGGUCUACAAGUUGUGCAGGUGCAUCUUCAAGGGUAAACACGCGAGGGCUAGAAAAUAUCAACACAAGCAUUUUUUUUUGAGGUUUCACUUGCUAAACUCAAGGUUGUUUGGAGGGGGUCUUUUUUUAUGAACAAAACAAGCAACAAAAUGUUUUACAAAAAGGGUUGAACAAUUACAAUGCUACCUAGAUAGCAAGACAAGAGGAACACACCACACGACCUAACAAGAAUUUCCAAUCUGACACGAGGUAAGACAUUUUUUUUCAGUUCAUAGCAAUACAGCACAUUAUUCACAAUUUCUUAUUAUUGGAAUAAAGGUGAGAGAAGCAUGUUGAUGCAUAAGAGACAAUUAAAAUGUGACAAUCAUGAUGCAUGCUCAUUCUAGUCGUCUUCUCAGACCUAACUAGUUUUUCGGGUGCUUUUACAGCAUCCCUAUAGUAGUAGUAGCCUUUAUGGCCCAAAUAACUAGCCACCUAGCUACCCAUCUAUUUCCUAAGGCUUCACGUCCUAGGUCUAUCCUUAUCGUCCUGAUAUCUAUCCAACUUGGUUUCUAAGCAAGUUUUACUUUUGAAAAGGUUGGUAAUCAUGACUUACUGACUUCUCUGUACUGGUAUUCGCUCCGAUACCAGCUGUGGCGGAACCACCCGAAUUAUUCCAACUUAAGUGCCUAAGUCCCGCCUUAAAGGCUAGACCACACUUAAAUAGGAAUAAAUCGUCAGUCCCUCGGAUCUAGUCCGACGAGGCCACUUAUCCAGGAUCGAAUACCACUAGCUCACACGAAGGUGAGGCACAGAGAAAUACAAUAAAACAUAAUACCACAAAUUUAAUAAGUAUCAUUAGUGAUUACAUUAUCGGAGUUUCAGAAAUAAUAACCAUAAAUUUUAAUGCAGCGGAAAUAACUAACGGAGAAAACCGAGUAACAUGGCGAAGCCUGGCCAACUACUCCUCCUGGUCCUGUCCUGCAGAAGCAGUAACCCACUCGACCGUCUAUCCCGGUGGUAGGGAUGGAGGCCAAGUCACACCAUCAACCAAACAUCCUAAGGAGUACCUGCAAAAAUUAUGCCACAAGCAAGGCUGAGUAUACUAAUACUCAGCUAGAC
rnacentral:lncRNA from 1 species